rnacentral:rRNA from 1 species
UACGUAGGGCGCAAGCGUUGUCCGGAAUUAUUGGGUGUAAAGAGCUCGUAGGCGGCUUGUCACGUCGGGUGUGAAAGCCCGGGGCUUAACCCCGGGUCUGCAUUCGAUACGGGCUAGCUAGAGUGUGGUAGGGGAGAUCGGAAUUCCUGGUGUAGCGGUGAAAUGCGCAGAUAUCAGGAGGAACACCGGUGGCGAAGGCGGGUCUCUGGGCAGUAACUGACGCUGAGGAGCGAAAGCGUGGGGAGCGAACAGG